ensembl:lncRNA
AUUUGAUGCCUGGCCAGAGUUUACAAGAUAUACCCACAAAAGGUACUGUGAUAGAUCACAGAAUUAGGAUUUUAAAUGGGUUAACCUAUAAUGACAUCUGGUACCUCUGUAUUAACACAGUAAAAAGACAUUAAGGAAAACAAAAAAAGAGCAAAGGGAAUAAAAAGCUUUUGAUUGAGGAGUCACAGUUAUCAAUUCUCUUUUAACUUUUACCAAUGCCCUUAUAUCCAGACAAAUGCUUUCUAUUUGUAAUGUUUAAAACUCCAUUAUCUUUUUCCUCCUAUAUCUUCUGCUGUGUAAUCAUUCUUCCACCUUACAGCAUUUUAACUCAACCUCUCCUUCCUUUCUUCCUCUAUGCCUGCUCCAAGGGACUCUACUUCCAGAGCAUCAAUUCAGUCCAAAUGAGAUAUUUUCUCAGGGUGGUAGCACUAGUAAGCAUAUUGGAAAUGUGUUUACAAGAAUUUCAACUCUGCAAGAAGUGAAGAUGAACAUUUUUCCUAGGUUAGUAUAUGUCAAAGACCCAGUAAAAUGAUCAAAUGUUGUUUAUAGUGCCUCUGCCAUGAAGUUAGUCACAUUUAGUAUACAGAAGAGAGAGUAGGGUUGUUAGACUUGGAAGAAAGCCCACAAGGUCUUCAUGAAUGAUUUUAGGCUAAAACCUCCAACAGAAUUCUGCAUGCAGACUUUGCAGUAUGAGUUUUCACAAAGUGGCUCUGUUUCUUUCACAGAAUGUACUUGGUGUUGUGUCUGAUGAUGGGAACAAAAUUAUAAAUAUUGCUGAUUAAUAGAAGAUGGUGACUGGAGAAAUUAAUCUUUUUCCCAUUAAGUUCCAUAAGGGUAUCUUGGGUUGAUCACUGUCUUUUGAGACUGCAGAGAACAAAAUCCUGGGGGAACAAGAUCAUCAGCAUGUAACAUAGUCUUUAAAAGUAGUUCUUUAUCCAUAAUCCCAUUUAGAAAGAAUGUCUCUUUUUAAAAAUCUCAGAGCAUUUCACAUAGGUCAGUCUCAGCACACAUUUUAAGAAUAUUGAAUCAAUUUCAUGAAUUUUUGCAAAGGAGAAAAGGAGAAGGUCAGUAACUUACCCCAAAUAACUGUGAGAACACAUGAGAAAAAGCAGAAAUAGGAACUAGAAAUAUCAAUUCUUAUAUUCUGAUGUGAGGCCCAGGUAACAUCAGACUGGGUUUGUAUUCAGUUUUACAGUGACAGUUUUCAAAAAGAUUCUGUAUUUUUAACCAGGUGCAGUUUUUCAUGAAGGAUGUUCAGUUUCUUAGGAAAAUGGGCUUGUCCAUUUAAAAAAGCCAAGUGAAUCUGCAAUGGAAAUGUUUUUGUUGAAUAACUUUUUAUUUUGACUGGAAUAUGGUAAAGAAAAUGGCAGAUUGGCUACUGCAUGUCCUUAUCUCCUUGUAAGACAGGUGUUUUAAUGAUUUGAUUCUCACUGCAAGAUAUGAAGUAACCACAGAAUUCAGACAUGCUCUGCUUCUAACUUCUUUUGGCUGGGAUAUAGUUGUGUAUCAUAGAUGAAGUAAUUUAAUUUAUGAGAACUGACAUCAAUGCAAUAACACAAAUCCCUGUUAUAUAUUUAUUGAUUGAAUCUCUAUCUUAGUAGCAAAACUUAAGAAUAAAAACUGAG